GACGAACCGUGCGAACGUUGUUCGGAAUCACUGGGCUUAAAGGGCGCGUAGGCGGUCCUGAUCGUCGGAUGUGAAAGGCCUGGGCUCAACCUGGGAAUGGCAUCCGAUACGGCGGGACUGGAGUGUGGGAGAGGUUGGUGGAAUUCCCAGUGUAGAGGUGAAAUUCGUAGAUAUUGGGAAGAACACCGGUGGCGAAGGCGGCCAACUGGACCACAACUGACGCUGAGGCGCGAAAGCGUGGGGAGCAAACAGG
rnacentral:rRNA from 1 species